AUACGGAGGGUGCAAGCGUUAUUCGGAAUCACUGGGCGUAAAGGACGCGUAGGCGGGUUGGCAAGUCAGAUGUGUAAUCCUACAGCUUAACUGUAGAACUGCAUUUGAAACUGCUAACCUAGAGUAUGGGAGGGGGAGAUGGAAUUAGUGGUGUAGGGGUAAAAUCCGUAGAUAUCACUAGGAAUACCGAAAGCGAAGGCGAUCUCCUGGAACAUAACUGACGCUAAGGCGUGAAAGCGUGGGGAGCAAACAGGAUUAGAAACCCUAGUAGUCC
rnacentral:rRNA from 1 species